rnacentral:rRNA from 1 species
AGAGUUUGAUCAUGGCUCAGGAUGAACGCUAGCUACAGGCUUAACACAUGCAAGUCGAGGGGCAGCAUGGUCUUAGCUUGCUAAGGCCGAUGGCGACCGGCGCACGGGUGAGUAACACGUAUCCAACCUGCCGUCUACUCUUGGACAGCCUUCUGAAAGGAAGAUUAAUACAAGAUGGCAUCAUGAGUCCGCAUGUUCACAUGAUUAAAGGUAUUCCGGUAGACGAUGGGGAUGCGUUCCAUUAGAUAGUAGGCGGGGUAACGGCCCACCUAGUCUUCGAUGGAUAGGGGUUCUGAGAGGAAGGUCCCCCACAUUGGAACUGAGACACGGUCCAAACUCCUACGGGAGGCAGCAGUGAGGAAUAUUGGUCACUGGGCGAGAGCCUGAACCAGCCAAGUAGCGUGAAGGAUGACUGCCCUAUGGGUUGUAAACUUCUUUUAUAAAGGAAUAAAGUCGGGCAUGCAUACCCGUUUGCAUGUACCUUAUGAAUAAGGAUCGGCUAACUCCGUGCCAGCAGCCGCGGUAAUACGGAGGAUCCGAGCGUUAUCCGGAUUUAUUGGGUUUAAAGGGAGCGUAGAUGGAUGUUUAAGUCAGUUGUGAAAGUUUGCGGCUCAACCGUAAAAUUGCAGUUGAUACUGGAUAUCUUGAGUGCAGUUGAGGCAGGCGGAAUUCGUGGUGUAGCGGUGAAAUGCUUAGAUAUCACGAAGAACUCCGAUUGCGAAGGCAGCCUGCUAAGCUGCAACUGACAUUGAGGCUCGAAAGUGUGGGUAUCAAACAGGAUUAGAUACCCUGGUAGUCCACACGGUAAACGAUGAAUACUCGCUGUUUGCGAUAUACAGCAAGCGGCCAAGCGAAAGCGUUAAGUAUUCCACCUGGGGAGUACGCCGGCAACGGUGAAACUCAAAGGAAUUGACGGGGGCCCGCACAAGCGGAGGAACAUGUGGUUUAAUUCGAUGAUACGCGAGGAACCUUACCCGGGCUUAAAUUGCAGAUGAAUUACGGUGAAAGCCGUAAGCCGCAAGGCAUCUGUGAAGGUGCUGCAUGGUUGUCGUCAGCUCGUGCCGUGAGGUGUCGGCUUAAGUGCCAUAACGAGCGCAACCCUUGUUGUCAGUUACUAACAGGUCAUGCUGAGGACUCUGACAAGACUGCCAUCGUAAGAUGUGAGGAAGGUGGGGAUGACGUCAAAUCAGCACGGCCCUUACGUCCGGGGCUACACACGUGUUACAAUGGGGGGUACAGAGGGCCGCUACCACGCGAGUGGAUGCCAAUCCCCAAAACCUCUCUCAGUUCGGACUGGAGUCUGCAACCCGACUCCACGAAGCUGGAUUCGCUAGUAAUCGCGCAUCAGCCACGGCGCGGUGAAUACGUUCCCGGGCCUUGUACACACCGCCCGUCAAGCCAUGGGAGCCGGGGGUACCUGAAGUGCGUAACCGCGAGGUGCGCCCUAGGGUAAAACUGGUGACUGGGGCUAAGUCGUAACAAGGUA